rnacentral:rRNA from 1 species
UACAGAGGUCUCAAGCGUUGUUCGGAUUCAUUGGGCGUAAAGGGUGUGUAGGUGGCGCCGUAAGUCGGGUGUGAAAUCUCGGGGCUUAACUCCGAAACUGCAUUCGAUACUGCCAUGCUUGAGGACUGGAGAGGAGACUGGAAUUUACGGUGUAGCGGUGAAAUGCGUAGAUAUCGUAAGGAAGACCAGUGGCGAAGGCGGGUCUCUGGACAGUUCCUGACGCUGAGGCACGAAGGUCAGGGGAGCAAACGGG